AUUGAACGCUGGCGGCAUGCUCUACACAUGCAAGUCGAACGGUAACAGGCCGCAAGGUGCUGACGAGUGGCGAACGGGUGAGUAAUGCAUCGGAACGUGCCCAGUCGUGGGGGAUAACUACUCGAAAGAGUAGCUAAUACCGCAUACGAUCUAUGGAUGAAAGCGGGGGACCGUAAGGCCUCGCGCGAUUGGAGCGGCCGAUGUCAGAUUAGGUAGUUGGUGGGGUAAAGGCUCACCAAGCCAACGAUCUGUAGCUGGUCUGAGAGGACGACCAGCCACACUGGGACUGAGACACGGCCCAGACUCCUACGGGAGGCAGCAGUGGGGAAUUUUGGACAGAGGGCGCAAGCCUGAUCCAGCAAUGCCGCGUGCAGGAAGAAGGCCUUCGGGUUGUAAACUGCUUUUGUACGGAACGAAACGGCUCUGGUUAAUACCCGGGGCUAAUGACGGUACCGUAAGAAUAAGCACCGGCUAACUACGUG
rnacentral:rRNA from 1 species